AUUGAACGCUGGCGGCAGGCCUAACACAUGCAAGUCGAGCGGUAGAGAGAAGCUUGCUUCUCUUGAGAGCGGCGGACGGGUGAGUAAUGCCUAGGAAUCUGCCUGGUAGUGGGGGAUAACGUUCGGACACGGACGCUAAUACCGCAUACGUCCUACGGGAGAAAGCAGGGGACCUUCGGGCCUUGCGCUAUCAGAUGAGCCUAGGUCGGAUUAGCUAGUUGGUGGGGUAAUGGCUCACCAAGGCGACGAUCCGUAACUGGUCUGAGAGGAUGAUCAGUCACACUGGAACUGAGACACGGUCCAGACUCCUACGGGAGGCAGCAGUGGGGAAUAUUGGACAAUGGGCGAAAGCCUGAUCCAGCCAUGCCGCGUGUGUGAAGAAGGUCUUCGGAUUGUAAAGCACUUUAAGUUGGGAGGAAGGGAAGUAAAAUAAUACUUUGCUGUUUUGACGUUACCGACAGAAUAAGCACCGGCUAACUCUGUG
rnacentral:rRNA from 1 species